rnacentral:lncRNA from 1 species
AGGAAAGUGGCCAUGAACUCGGCGAUUCCUGCUCUGUAAAACGACCAGGAGGUCAGCUCUCCCGGCUCGAACAGCGGCGCCGGCGGUGGUUCCUUGUAGUCCUUCCCGCCAUCUUGGCUCUGAGCGGCCGUACCAAUCGGCUGCCGCUCCGAGUACUUGUUGGCUCCGAGUCUUACGUCCUCUUCUUUGCCUUCCAUUGUUGCUCUGCUUCAAGGUAAAGUGGAAAACACAGUCGCUGUGGUUGGGGGGUUUAUGGCCGAC